rnacentral:rRNA from 1 species
CAUGCAAGUCGAGCGGAGAUGAGGUGCUUGCACCUUAUCUUAGCGGCGGACGGGUGAGUAAUGCUUAGGAAUCUGCCUAUUAGUGGGGGACAACAUUCCGAAAGGGAUGCUAAUACCGCAUACGUCCUACGGGAGAAAGCAGGGGAUCUUCGGACCUUGCGCUAAUAGAUGAGCCUAAGUCGGAUUAGCUAGUUGGUGGGGUAAAGGCCUACCAAGGCGACGAUCUGUAGCGGGUCUGAGAGGAUGAUCCGCCACACUGGGACUGAGACACGGCCCAGACUCCUACGGGAGGCAGCAGUGGGGAAUAUUGGACAAUGGGGGGAACCCUGAUCCAGCCAUGCCGCGUGUGUGAAGAAGGCCUUAUGGUUGUAAAGCACUUUAAGCGAGGAGGAGGCUACUGAGACUAAUACUCUUGGAUAGUGGACGUUACUCGCAGAAUAAGCACCGGCUAACUCUGUGCCAGCAGCCGCGGUAAUACAGAGGGUGCGAGCGUUAAUCGGAUUUACUGGGCGUAAAGCGUGCGUAGGCGGCUUUUUAAGUCGGAUGUGAAAUCCCCGAGCUUAACUUGGGAAUUGCAUUCGAUACUGGGAAGCUAGAGUAUGGGAGAGGAUGGUAGAUUUCCAGGUGUAGCGGUGAAAUGCGUAGAGA